rnacentral:rRNA from 1 species
CCAAUAGCGUAUAUUAAAGUUGUUGCAGUUAAAAAGCUCGUAGUUGAAUUUCGGGAUCAAUAUGUUUGGUCGCGCCUCGGUACGUACUAGCUUAUUGGUUUCUCCUUUCUGAAGAACCAUGAUGUCAUUCAUUUGGUGUCGUGGGGAAUCAGGACUGUUACUUUGAAAAAAAUUAGAGUGUUUAAAGCAGGCUCACGCUUGAAUACAUUAGCAUGGAAUAAUGAAAUAGGACGUUUGAUUCUAUUUUGUUGGUUUCUAGGAUCGACGUAAUGAUUAAUAUGGAUAGGUGGGGGCAUUAGUAUUCAAUUGUCAGAGGUGAAAUUCUUGGAUUUAUUGAAGACUAACUACUGCGAAAGCAUUUGCCAAGGAUGUUUUCAUUAAUCAAGAACGAAAGUUAGGGGAUCGAAGACGAUCAGAUACCGUCGUAGUCUUAACCAUAAACUAUGCCGACUAGGGAUCGGAUGAUGUUAAUUUUUUAAUGACUCAUUCGGCGCCUUACG